rnacentral:rRNA from 1 species
CAACCCUUGUCCUUAGUUACCAGCACGUUAUGGUGGGCACUCUAAGGAGACUGCCGGUGACAAACCGGAGGAAGGUGGGGGAGUGACGUCAAGUCAUCAUGGCCCUUACGGCCUGGGCUACACACGUGCUACAAUGGUCGGUCAAAGGGUUGCCAGGCCGCGAGGUGGAGCUAAUCCCAUAAAACCGAUCGUAGUCCGGAUCGCAGUCUGCAACUCGACUGCGUGAAGUCGGAAUCGCUAGUAAUCGUGAAUCAGAAUGUCACGGUGAAUACGUUCCCGGGCCUU